rnacentral:rRNA from 1 species
CACGUAGGGCGCAAGCGUUGUCCGGAAUUAUUGGGCGUAAAGAGCUUGUAGGCGGUCUGUCGCGUCUGCUGUGAAAAUCCGGGGCUCAACCCCGGACUUGCAGUGGGUACGGGCAGACUAGAGUGUGGUAGGGGAGACUGGAAUUCCUGGUGUAGCGGUGAAAUGCGCAGAUAUCAGGAGGAACACCGAUGGCGAAGGCAGGUCUCUGGGCCACUACUGACACUGAGAAGCGAAAGCAUGGGGAGCGAACAGG